rnacentral:sRNA from 1 species
GGCCAGUGUGGGAUAUAUGGGAUCCUCUUUAGGAAAAAAAAUGGGAAGGAAGGAAAUAAAACCCAGGGCUUAAUUACUGCCCUUGGACCAGCUACUUCUCAUCUUCCUUGUUUCUCAGACUGGAGAGAUGCGACAGGAGGGUGUAAAGUGGACUCAGGGGUGUUAUAAAGUCGUUUUGCGUUGGAUUCUUACUACCCGUGAGUGUUGCAGAGAAGGUCGGCACAGCUCCGGACCUCACAAGGCUGGCUCUCCCUCCAAGGUGACGCGCAUAAAUGGAAUCGGUGAGCCUGCGGCUCGGGAACGGAUCCUGAGGAUUGGACAUUCUGACUACAGCCUAUUCCAGCAACUUCUUCCAGAACAGCGAGGCGGUUCAACACUCUCCUAGUUCACGUGAUUCAAGACCCCUGGCUCCGGCUCCGCUCUAGAAAUGUUUUCGAUUGGUCAGUCCCAGCUCCUCACCAGGAGGUGAAUCUGCAGAGGACACGUGGCCCGUUUUGACCAACAAGAUAGGUGGAUUCUGGGACUGCACUCUGGUUAUCCGGCUUGUGACACAAGUGUUUUUAUCCACUGAUCCACACUGACUGAACCCAUGUCGUCAUUUCUGAGGCUGUCUGGGAUGAACCUCCUUUCCACACAGGCCAAUAAAUCAGUCUAGUCACCGAUGUGAACAGGCUACACAGCCCAGACAUCUCCUUCUAGCUCCCUGGAAGCCAGUAUUCUGCUAGCCGCCUUC